UGGCAAUCUUGUGCACGCUCAGCGGGUGACGUCAGAGGAGAAUUUCCGCUUUGUAUUUCAGAGACGCCAUAACAGCAGGACCAUGUGGACAGCAGGAUGGUUUGGUCGCUAAUUUGGUGAGAAAAUUCAUCGAUGUGAAGCCAUGGGGACAUCAACAGUAAGUUACUGCAGUCUAACAGUCUAAGUAAAAGUGCCCUCUCAGUGUACAGUAGCAGCAAGUUAUAUCAACAAAGCAAGACCUGAUCAUGCAGAGGCGAUGUUAAAAAGUGUGGGUUGGGGACAAGCCUAAAACAGUGAAAUUCUGGCGGAUUUGAAUUUUCAACAUACUGAAAAAGUAUUAAAAUGUCACAAUUGAGACACAAUUCUUUUUUCAUAGCUACUACAACCUAACCCUAACAAAUACAAGAAUUGUUUUUUCUAAAAAAUAUUUUUUCUUGAAAAUCUACCCUGGGGACAGAAAAACUCCCCGAAUUGAAGAAUCACCGAUUGACAGUUUAUGAGGCUUCCUUCCCUUUCUUCCAUCAUGCUUCCAGCGCCCCCUUGCAAUUUCAGAACGCCCUAUUGAAAAACCGUAAUGAUGUCUUCUUCCAUGAAGCAAUUUUUGUUAUUUGAAACGUCAAUGUGAAACAGUUUGAAUGAUCACAUUCUGUUCAUAUGGUAAAAACACAGGGCCGAGUUAUUUGAAAUAAUUUGGGAAACAUUGGCAAUGCUUUUGAAUACUUGUUUAAUGUAUGUGAGUUAAGAUUAUAAUAUUGUUUCUUGUAACUUGGCCCGAUUUUGAUAUCAGUACCUUUAAUGCCAGGCCUAGAUUUUGCAAGUUUGAAUUAUCUGCUUUUUUGAAUACACUGUACAUGGUGUCACACCAACCUUACUCACCAGAGUGCCAAGGAAAAAGGAAAGAAAUGCCACCAACAUCCAAAAUGCCUCAAAACAGGAAUAAUAUUUUAAAAAACAAACAAACAAAAAGAGACAGGCGAUCACAGUGAAACAGAGUAGAAAAUCUAGUGAAAUAAUUAUACCUGUAUUAAUGCUGUUACAUUUAACUUUCAGUUUUCAACUGCACACUUUAGAUUGGAACUUUCAUAUAUUUCUUCUGUUGCCUGGCUUUACAUUUCCACAUUCCCACGGACAACACAAUGAGCAGCAGAGCCAUAGCACCUGUGCCCGCCAUCACUUCACUGGCCACACAGCCCCCAGCGCUGGAGCUGGAGAGCCUGCUCGGCAGGGCCUUGGUCAGGUGGGUCUCCAGAGGGUCGGGGCAUCCUGAACAUCAACCAACAAGACACCAUUCAGUAUUGUGUCCUUCAGUUACAGCUGUGACAGAGCAUGCUGCAAUCUACAACAAAGCAGUCGUGAGAUUACAUAUAAAAAACGAGGUAUUUUAAAUAUAAAAUAUAUACCGAUGAGCAAAAAUCCAGUCCAAACUUUGGAGAGUGGAGUAUGAGACACUUGAAUUAGCAAGAAGCUCAUUUAAAUUGAAUCUGUGGGAAGGUUAGACAGUAAAAACAACCUCCUCUGUUCAUGAAACAGUGAAUGUGUGUCCUAGUUUUACAGUGAAAAUGUGAUUCACCGAUAAUUAAAUCUGAAAACAACAAUCUUGUUUUACACCAACAUUUGUGCCUGUUUAUAUUUUGGCACAUCCUGGAAUUACCUUGAGGAUAAUAGCGGCAUUCUCCUUCCUGAAUCUUGUGACCAAUAGGAGCCCAGAGAGUGCAGUGGUAUUUACCACAGUCAUUUAAGGCUGAGGUGGGAAGAAUGAGCGAUAGGUCCUCUCCAAUCUGGUAUGAGUGGUUUGCUGAUUUAUAGAGGACUGUCUGAUUUGUCUUCAGGUUUUUCAGCACCAGCCCAGUCAAACCUCCUUCUACCUACAACAUUAUUACAACAUAAGCCAAGGGCUCUCUUAACAGUUGUGCCAUGUUACAGGUAUCCAAUUUACAAGAUUUGUAUGUAAAAGCCACACAGGUUAAUAAUAGAUUAAAUGCAUUACAUAUUCACCCACACUAUUGUCUACAGUCAGAUUAACAUGCAAUGUAGAGAGUUUAUGAAGAUAUAUUAGACAUUGUGUGUGCGCAUUACUAAUAAAAAGAAAUAUAUAUAUAUUUGGCAUACCUUGUACCAACUAAUUUUCCUGUACAUCACCCCUGGCUGCCGGUGAGCUCGGCAUGGCAACUUUGUCGAAUUGUAGCACUCUCCCUGACGACUGAUUAGCAGUAAAAGGUUCAAUGCUACAAUUAAACAGAACAACCGUAAUAAGAACUUAAGAAGCAAAAUGAGAAUAUGAACAGACAAAAACAGUUUAGUGUGUGAACACUAAACUGAACAAAACCUCGGAUAAUAGGUUACGAAGCGACAUAUCAGUUUCACUAAUUUGCGGAAGUGCAAAUUGCAUUGGACUGGUAAUAGAAAGUACGCAGAAUUAAAAAAAUUAUGAGUUCGGAAUAUCAUCAUAUCGGAAUAGGCGUUUAACCUACACGCGUUUCAUUUUCGGAAUAUUAUUGGAGGUAGCCUUUAGCUAUAUGCACUCCAUCUUAUUCAGAUUUCGCUUCGGAAUAAGGACUGUUCAUUGUUAUUCUUUCAGUAGCUUCGAAACACUCCCUGUUUCGAAGCAACUUCCUCUGAAUAGAAAGUGAAAGUAACGCUAUUAACUCUAAUAGAAAAACAAAAGCUAAUAUACACAAUACAACUUUCACAGUAAAAAUCUAGAGCGGUUUACGUAAAUUUGAAUAGGCUAUAAACAAUAUUAGGCUACUGCAAGAUUAAAUACGCUAUCAUCAACUUGAAUAUCAUUGAAGACGUUAACGUCUGCUGCCAUGCAAAAUCGUAGCCUAUAAUACGGUAGGCUAUGUCUAUAAAUGCAACCGAGUACCUAUGCAUUGCCUAGACCUACUUACAGAUUAACUGCAAAAUGUUUCGCAUUUCAGAGGAAAACAUUUCGAAUAAGGAUUCUUUGUAGUACAAUUUUGUAACAGCCGUUGUUUACAUCCCGCUGCGCUCCUACGUAACCAUCCAUGUGACCUCUGUUUUGCACAUUCCACCCAAUGAAGUUCAGUGAGUCCACCACAUGCUGUGUUUUCAGAAAAAGCGAGACUCAACCUCUCUGGACUCAACUCGCUGCAGGCUUGGAGAAAGCAGUUCUGGACGAUGCACGCGCAGUUUCAGUUGGAGUACAACAUCAUUAUAAUGGAGUGUAAUGUAAUAUAGCAAGCUAGUAAAUGUUUUUAAAACUAGCCUAUAAAAUGCUUCAAUUGUAAUAUUUAUCGCACAAUGGCGUAUUGCUUAUUGUGCGCUCGUAACGUUAUAUUUUUUAGCGAUGAUGAUGGACUAAUUCAUACUUUUAUUGACGAUUAAUGUUACCAACACAGCCAUUCAGUUUUAUCAUCCCAUGUCCAACUUACUUUCAUUCACAGACCCAAAACCCCUCCAAGUGAAAAUAAAUAAUGAGUCACGAAUCAUAAU